rnacentral:rRNA from 1 species
CUUGAAAGAGAAGAUCAAGAAGAGCCUCAAAGAAGCUUUCUUGAUGGAGGGGAGCGGCAGACGGGUGAGUAACGCGUGGGAAUGUACCCUUUGCUACGGAAUAGCUCCGGGAAACUGGAAUUAAUACCGUAUGAGCCCUUCGGGGGAAAGAUUUAUCGGCAAAGGAUCAGCCCGCGUUGGAUUAGCUAGUUGGUGGGGGAAAGGCCUACCAAGGCGACGAUCCAUAGCUGGUCUGAGAGGAUGAUCAGCCACACUGGGACUGAGACACGGCCCAGACUCCUACGGGAGGCAGCAGUGGGGAAUCUUGGACAAUGGGCGCAAGCCUGAUCCAGCCAUGCCGCGUGAGUGAAGAAGGUCUUCGGAUUGUAAAGGUCUUUUGCCAGGGACGAUAAUGACGGUACCUGGAGAAUAAGCCCCGGCAAACUUCGUGCCAGCAGCCGCUGUAACAC